GGAGUAACUGGAGAAUUGGUUUAUGCUUCCAUCCCCACCUAGACUGUCCAGGCUUAAGGAUGGCAUCUUUAGUAAUAUUGAGAACAGCAAUAAUAUGAUAAAGUCCAUCAGGCCCAUCUUCACCCCUUACUCCCAGGUGAUCCCGUAUCACAAAUCCUGAGCCUUUUGAUGUCUCUGUGGUGCCAUCCAGAUCACUUCUAGUCCUUCCCAAGAGCCUCACUGAUCUUCUCAAUCAGAUCAUUGACACCAUGCCAGAAAAUCACCUGCCCAGUCAUUGUCUGUGCUGCUGCCAUUCUUACUAGGGUGUGGCAGAUGGUGUUCAACUCUCCUGCUCUUCAAUUGUCAGAAUUAGGUGUCAUGGUUAUAUCCUGUCCGUUCCUCCCAAUAAACCAGAGAUGGGAUUCAAUGAUGAAGUACCAAAAUGAGAACCAGCAGUCCUGAAGUACAAUUCAACCCCAUUGUAAUAGUCUUAAUAAUUGAUAAAUUCCCACAGAUCUGACUUAUCAAAUCUUCUUUGUUAAAAAUACAUAAAGUCUUCUUUGUCUAUGCAACAUUCUACACAGUGGUGAA